GACUGCGUCGCUUAGUGGUUAGAGCAUCUCGUUGUGGUUGUGCUUGAUAAGCUGCCCCGAGAAGACGGGUGUUCGAUUCACCCCGCGGUCA